rnacentral:rRNA from 1 species
GAUGAACGCUGGCGGCGUGCCUAAUACAUGCAAGUCGAGCGAACAGACGAGGAGCUUGCUCCUCUGACGUUAGCGGCGGACGGGUGAGUAACACGUGGAUAACCUACCUAUAAGACUGGGAUAACUUCGGGAAACCGGAGCUAAUACCGGAUAAUAUAUUGAACCGCAUGGUUCAAUAGUGAAAGACGGUUUUGCUGUCACUUAUAGAUGGAUCCGCGCCACAUUAGCUAGUUGGUAAGGUAACGGCUUACCAAGGCGACGAUGCGUAGCCGACCUGAGAGGGUGAUCGGCCACACUGGAACUGAGACACGGUCCAGACUCCUACGGGAGGCAGCAGUAGGGAAUCUUCCGCAAUGGGCGAAAGCCUGACGGAGCAACGCCGCGUGAGUGAUGAAGUUCUUCGGAUCGUAAAACUCUGUUAUUAGGGAAGAACAAAUGUGUAAGUAACUAUGCACGUCUUGACGGUACCUAAUCAGAAAGCCACGGCUAACUACGUG